rnacentral:rRNA from 1 species
UACGUAGGUGGCAAGCGUUGUCCGGAUUUACUGGGCGUAAAGGAUGCGUAGGCGGACAUUUAAGCCAGAUGUGAAAUACCCGAGCUUAACUUGGGUGCUGCAUUUGAAACUGGGUGUCUAGAGUGCAGGAGAGGUAAGUGGAAUUCCUAGUGUAGCGGAUGAAUGCGUAGAGUAAUUAGGAAGAACACCAGUGGCGAAGGCGACUUACUGGACUGUAACUGACGCUGAGGCAUGAAAGCGUGGGGAGCAAACAGG